CGUGGGUAACCUGCCCAAGAGAUCGGGAUAACACCUGGAAACAGAUGCUAAUACCGGAUAACAACAGAUGAUGCCUAUCAACUGUUUAAAAGAUGGUUCUGCUAUCACUCUUGGAUGGACCUGCGGUGCAUUAGCUAGUUGGUAAGGUAACGGCCUACCAAGGCGAUGAUGCAUAGCCGAGUUGAGAGACUGAUCGGCCACAUUGGGACUGAGACACGGCCCAAACUCCUACGGAGGCAGCAGGA
rnacentral:rRNA from 1 species